rnacentral:rRNA from 1 species
AACGAACGCCGGCGGCAUGCCUAACACAUGCAAGUCGAACGAGACCUUCGGGUCUAGUGGCGCACGGGUGCGUAACGCGUGGGAACCUGCCCUUAGGUUCGGAAUAACUCCCCGAAAGGGGUGCUAAUACCGGAUAAUGUCUUCGGACCAAAGAUUUAUCGCCUUUGGAUGGGCCCGCGUUGGAUUAGCUAGUUGGUAGGGUAAAAGCCUACCAAGGCGACGAUCCAUAGCUGGUCUGAGAGGAUGAUCAGCCACACUGGGACUGAGACACGGCCCAGACUGCUACGGGAGGCAGCAGUGGGGAAUAUUGGACGAUGGGGGAAAGCCUGAUCCAGCAAUGCCGCGUGAGUGAUGAAGGCCUUAGGGUUGUAAAGCUCUUUUACCCGGGAUGAUAAUGACAGUACCGGGAGAAUAAGCUCCGGCUAACUCCGUG